GCGAAAGUAGCUCAGUUGGUAGAGCGCAACCUUGCCAAGGUUGAGGUCGCGAGUUCGAACCUCGUCUUUCGCUCCA
rnacentral:tRNA from 6 species